rnacentral:rRNA from 1 species
GAUCCCAUCCCGAACUCGGUCGUUAAGCCCUCCAGAGCCAAUGGUACUUCGUCUUAAGGCGCGGGAGAGUAGGUCGCCGCCGGGU